AAAGGGCGCGUAGGCGGAUAGUUUAGUCAGAGGUGAAAGCCCAGGGCUCAACCUUGGAAUUGCCUUUGAUACUGGCUAUCUUGAGUUCGGGAGAGGUGAGUGGAAUGCCGAGUGUAGAGGUGAAAUUCGUAGAUAUUCGGCGGAACACCAGUGGCGAAGGCGACUCACUGGCCCGAUACUGACGCUGAGGCGCGAAAGCGUGGGGAGCAAACAGGAUUAGAUACCCUAGU
rnacentral:rRNA from 1 species